rnacentral:lncRNA from 1 species
GGAGAGAAUUGAACUUCGGGAAGAGAGCAUAAGGGAACAGAAAAAAAAAAAGAGAAAGAGAAAAUUCAAUUUCAAGAAGAGCACGUAAGGGAACAGAAAGAAAAGAGCUUCGGGUUGCAUGUACCCUGGUUUUCUCUACACCUAUACUUUUGUCUUAUUUCAUGAUUUUUUUUUUUAUUAUUUGAUUAUCAGGUUUUUAUUGCAUGUAACCCCCUGUAAUUUUAUAUCCUUACAUUCCUUGAUUUUGUAAUUCUGUUUAUAAGUUUGUUUCAUUAUUGCACUUCAAUAUUU